rnacentral:rRNA from 2 species
UUAAAUUGAAGAGUUUGAUCAUGGCUCAGAUUGAACGCUGGCGGCAGGCCUAACACAUGCAAGUCGAGCGGUAGCACAGAGAGCUUGCUCUCGGGUGACGAGCGGCGGACGGGUGAGUAAUGUCUGGG